rnacentral:rRNA from 1 species
GACGAACGCUGGCGGCGUGCUUAACACAUGCAAGUCGAACGGUAAGGCCCUUCGGGGUACACGAGUGGCGAACGGGUGAGUAACACGUGGGUGAGCUGCCCUGCACUUCGGGAUAAGCCUGGGAAACUGGGUCUAAUACCGGAUAGGACCACUGCCUGCAUGGGUGGUGGUGGAAAGCUUUUGCGGUGUGGGAUGGGCCCGCGGCCUAGUAGCUUGUUGGUGGGGUGAUGGCCUACCAAGGCGACGACGGGUAGCCGGCCUGAGAGGGUGACCGGCCACACUGGGACUGAGAUACGGCCCAGACUCCUACGGGAGGCAGCAGUGGGGAAUAUUGCACAAUGGGCGCAAGCCUGAUGCAGCGACGCCGCGUGAGGGAUGACGGCCUUCGGGUUGUAAACCUCUUUCAGUAGGGACGAAGCGCAAGUGACGGUACCUACAGAAGAAGGACCGGCCAACUACGUGCCAGCCGCCGCAGUAA